AACGAACGCUGGCGGCAGGCCUAACACAUGCAAGUCGAGCGCACCUUCGGGUGAGCGGCGGACGGGUUAGUAACGCGUGGGAAUAUACCCAGAUCUACGGAAUAGCCUCGGGAAACUGAGAGUAAUACCGUAUACGCCCUUCGGGGGAAAGAUUUAUCGGAUUUGGAUUAGCCCGCGUUAGAUUAGAUAGUUGGUGAGGUAACGGCUCACCAAGUCUACGAUCUAUAGCUGGUUUUAGAGGAUGAUCAGCAACACUGGGACUGAGACACGGCCCAG
rnacentral:rRNA from 1 species